rnacentral:rRNA from 1 species
UACGUAGGUGGCAAGCGUUGUCCGGAAUUACUGGGUGUAAAGCGCGUGUAGGCGGCAGACCAAGUCGGCGGUGAAAGCGCCCGGCUCAACUGGGCGAGGUCCGUGGAAACUGGUCAGCUGGAGGACGGUAGAGGCGAGUGGAAUUCCCGGUGUAGUGGUGAAAUGCGUAGAGAUCGGGAGGAACACCUGUGGCGAAGGCGGCUCGCUGGGCCGGUCCUGACGCUGAGACGCGAAGGCUAGGGGAGCGAACGGG